rnacentral:rRNA from 1 species
CUGGCUCAGGACGAACGCUGGCGGCGUGCUUAACACAUGCAAGUCGAACGGAAAGGCCCUUCGGGGUACUCGAGUGGCGAACGGGUGAGUAACACGUGGGUGAUCUGCCCUGCACUUUGGGAUAAGCCUGGGAAACUGGGUCUAAUACCGAAUAUGACCGCGCACUUCCUGGUGUGUGGUGGAAAGCUUUUGCGGUGUGGGAUGGGCCCGCGGCCUAUCAGCUUGUUGGUGGGGUAAUGGCCUACCAAGGCGACGACGGGUAGCCGGCCUGAGAGGGUGACCGGCCACACUGGGACUGAGAUACGGCCCAGACUCCUACGGGAGGCAGCAGUGGGGAAUAUUGCACAAUGGGCGCAAGCCUGAUGCAGCGACGCCGCGUGAGGGAUGACGGCCUUCGGGUUGUAAACCUCUUUCAAUAGGGACGAAGCGCAAGUGACGGUACCUAUAGAAGAAGGACCGGCCAACUACGUGCCAGCAGCCGCGGUAAUACGUAGGGUCCGAGCGUUGUCCGGAAUUACUGGGCGUAAAGAGCUCGUAGGUGGUUUGUCGCGUUGUUCGUGAAAACUCACAGCUUAACUGUGGGCGUGCGGGCGAUACGGGCAGACUAGAGUACUGCAGGGGAGACUGGAAUUCCUGGUGUAGCGGUGGAAUGCGCAGAUAUCAGGAGGAACACCGGUGGCGAAGGCGGGUCUCUGGGCAGUAACUGACGCUGAGGAGCGAAAGCGUGGGGAGCGAACAGGAUUAGAUACCCUGGUAGUCCACGCCGUAAACGGUGGGUACUAGGUGUGGGUUUCCUUCCUUGGGAUCCGUGCCGUAGCUAACGCAUUAAGUACCCCGCCUGGGGAGUACGGCCGCAAGGCUAAAACUCAAAGAAAUUGACGGGGGCCCGCACAAGCGGCGGAGCAUGUGGAUUAAUUCGAUGCA